AGUCGAACGACUCUGGUAUUGAUUGGUGCUUGCAUCAUGAUUUACAUUUGAGUGAGUGGCGAACUGGUGAGUAACACGUGGGAAACCUGCCCAGAAGCGGGGGAUAACACCUGGAAACAGAUGCUAAUACCGCAUAACAACUUGGACCGCAUGGUCCGAGUUUGAAAGAUGGCUUCGGCUAUCACUUUUGGAUGGUCCCGCGGCGUAUUAGCUAGAUGGUGGGGUAACGGCUCACCAUGGCAAUGAUACGUAGCCGACCUGAGAGGGUAAUCGGCCACAUUGGGACUGAGACACGGCCCAAACUCCUACGGGAGGCAGCAGUAGGGAAUCUUCCACAAUGGACGAAAGUCUGAUGGAGCAACGCCGCGUGAGUGAAGAAGGGUUUCGGCUCGUAAAACUCUGUUGUUAAAGAAGAACAUAUCUGAGAGUAACUGUUCAGGUAUUGACGGUAUUUAACCAGAAAGCCACGGCUAACUACGUGCCAGCAGCCGCGGUAAUACGUAGGUGGCAAGCGUUGUCCGGAUUUAUUGGGCGUAAAGCGAGCGCAGGCGGUUUUUUAAGUCUGAUGUGAAAGCCUUCGGCUCAACCGAAGAAGUGCAUCGGAAACUGGGAAACUUGAGUGCAGAAGAGGACAGUGGAACUCCAUGUGUAGCGGUGAAAUGCGUAGAUAUAUGGAAGAACACCAGUGGCGAAGGCGGCUGUCUGGUCUGUAACUGACGCUGAGGCUCGAAAGUAUGGGUAGCAAACAGGAUUAGAUACCCUGGUAGUCCAUACCGUAAACGAUGAAUGCUAAGUGUUGGAGGGUUUCCGCCCUUCAGUGCUGCAGCUAACGCAUUAAGCAUUCCGCCUGGGGAGUACGGCCGCAAGGCUGAAACUCAAAGGAAUUGACGGGGGCCCGCACAAGCGGUGGAGCAUGUGGUUUAAUUCGAAGCUACGCGAAGAACCUUACCAGGUCUUGACAUACUAUGCAAAUCUAAGAGAUUAGACGUUCCCUUCGGGGACAUGGAUACAGGUGGUGCAUGGUUGUCGUCAGCUCGUGUCGUGAGAUGUUGGGUUAAGUCCCGCAACGAGCGCAACCCUUAUUAUCAGUUGCCAGCAUUAAGUUGGGCACUCUGGUGAGACUGCCGGUGACAAACCGGAGGAAGGUGGGGAUGACGUCAAAUCAUCAUGCCCCUUAUGACCUGGGCUACACACGUGCUACAAUGGAUGGUACAACGAGUUGCGAACUCGCGAGAGUAAGCUAAUCUCUUAAAGCCAUUCUCAGUUCGGAUUGUAGGCUGCAACUCGCCUACAUGAAGUCGGAAUCGCUAGUAAUCGCGGAUCAGCAUGCCGCGGUGAAUACGUUCCCGGGCCUUGUACACACCGCCCGUCACACCAUGAGAGUUUGUAACACCCAAAGUCGGUGGGG
rnacentral:rRNA from 2 species